CUCAGAACAUCAGGACCAAAUUAAAGAGCUUCAAUUAAGGAUAAAUAAAGUUAAAAUGCAAAUAAAAACAACAGUAAGAGAUGCUGACGAUAAACAAAAUAAAGCCCUGUUGAAAGAAAGAGACCUUGUGAUGGUCCGUGAAAGAAUAAGGCGUUAUGAACUGAAAAGGGAUAAAAAAUGCUGUACAAAACGAUGGUGUCAAAGAAAAAAAGAUGGAUGUAUCGAGCACAAAGACCAGAAGAAGAGGAAGACUGUAAUGCAGCGAUUGUCCAACAUAUUCUUCUGUUGCAUCAAAGGCUCUGAAAAUUGAACAUUGAAUUAAGAUCGACCCAGAAUUAUUAGGUCUGAUCUUCAGUCCGCUCAUCAUCCAGGAAUGUAUCCACCCGAAAAACUACAGGUCAAUCCCGAAUUCUCCUUCAGUUUUACCAAAUCAUUAAAAUCUUGUUGUUUUU